rnacentral:lncRNA from 1 species
GCAAACUAUAGAAUAAUUGCAGAAUAGGACUCAGUUGUUGCCUAGAAGAACAAAGCACUUAUUCUGAGCUUUUUAGUAUUAAAUAAUACUAGAUUCUCCAGUAAGGAAUUUACCCCACUGCUUAGGCUCAAAGUCUAAGAAAGUCUUCCUUUUCCUUUUAAAAAAUGUUUUUCUGAGCUAAUAUCUUGCAAGAAGCAUUAUUAUCUUUCAACACUGAAUCUGCCUGUUACACCAAUGUGACAUUUGUUUACCAACUUCAGUAUGCAUCCAUCAUGAAAAUAAGAUUGGAAUCAACCAAAGUGCCCAUUUACAGGAGAAUGGAUGAAAAAAAAUGGUCUAUACACACAUACACAAACACAAACACACACACAUACACACACAUACACACACAUACACAUUAUGGAAUAUAUUUAUAUUGAAGAAUAUGAUCCUGCCAUUUUAAAUAACGAAUGGAUAGUCAUUAUGUUUAGUAUAAUAAAGCAGAUACAGGAAGACAGAUACCACAUGUUCUCACUCAUUUGAGCAAACUAAAAAGUCAGUCAUUCAGAAGGUGGAGUGGAAAGGUGGACACAAAGAUUCGAAGGGCAGGGAAAGUAGAACAGGAAGAGGUUAGAUAAAUGGCACCAAACCAGUUGGACUGGUGGAAUUAGUUUUGAUUUUCUAUACCACACUAACGUAACUAUUGUCUAUAUAAAUCUAUGGAAUAGUUAAAAAAAACUAGAAAAGCAAUACAUUUAUCAACACAUGGAAAUGAUUAAUAUUUGAGGAGAUGAAAGUGCC